rnacentral:rRNA from 1 species
UACGAAGGGGGCUAGCGUUGUUCGGAAUCACUGGGCGUAAAGCGCACGUAGGCGGACUUUUAAGUCAGGGGUGAAAUCCUGAGGCUCAACCUCAGAACUGCCUUUGAUACUGGGAGUCUCGAGUUCGGGAGAGGUGAGUGGAACUGCGAGUGUAGAGGUGAAAUUCGUAGAUAUUCGCAAGAACACCAGUGGCGAAGGCGGCUCACUGGCCCGAUACUGACGCUGAGGUGCGAAAGCGUGGGGAGCAAACAG